GGAUGACUGACGAAGAUGAUGGAGAAGAUGAUUGAGACGUGUCGGUGAUGGAUUGCGAGACCCCCCGUGUUGUCACCGAUACGUCGGUCCGGACAGAGACGGGGGUCAUGGGCUUGGAAAUGAUUCACCUCACGAACAGAACCUGGUGUGGGAGAGAAUGGGGGGACAGAGAGAGAGACAGGG